AGAUAUAUGAAGGAUAUUAAUCUACAAACAUUUUGCCAUUAAUUGGCACAAUAAUUUCCUAUGCAUUUUAUGUUUACCACAGAAAUAAAGUAUGAGUAGUUGUCUUCCCUACCUGCGGUUGGACUUACACUGCUGUUCUGCUCAGUGUUUGAGAAAUGCAUGCAAAUGCAUACUGUGAGUCAGCAUUAGGUCAUUUUUAUGGGUGAUUUGAGACUACCUUCUCUUCCCCCAAAUUACUUCUUUUCUUAUCUCUUGACUGAUGUUCUUCUUGGGGUUGCACAGGCAAGGGAAGGAGGCAGGGCUGAGACUGGGUUUGCAAGACACUGACCAGAACAAUAUGUCUAGGAUGAGGGCCUGACCUGUGAAGCAAAGUGUUGGCACAGACUGCACAUGGAAAAUCCUGUAUUCCCUGUGUGGCGUCACAACCAACACGGCAGGAAGCAGACAUGCUGUGGAAUGAGCAGCUCUGGAGACCCUUUGCUAGGACGGCAGAUCACAGAUUGCCCAGAACCAGUUAAAAGGAGAAAAGUAACAAGCUACAAAGACAGCUACUGGAAACAGAAGUUACUGGGGGAAAAAAGAUUGAGCAAGCAGUUCCUUUCAGAACACUGAUUAACAAAACCCAGAGCAAGCCUAGUCUACUUGCUCCUUAUCCAACUACACCACAAGACUGAGCAUCUUUGAGAAACACCACGUACUCUUCUGG